UACGGAGGGUGCAAGCGUUAAUCGGAAUUACUGGGCGUAAAGCGCACGCAGGUGGCUGAGUCAGUCGAUUGUGAAAGCCCUGGGCUUAACCUGGGAAUUGCAGUCGAUACUACUCAGCUAGAGUAUGGGAGAGGGUAGUGGAAUUCCCGGUGUAGCGGUGAAAUGCGUAGAUAUCGGGAGGAACAUCAGUGGCGAAGGCGGCUAACUGGUCCGAUACUGACGCUGAGGUGCGAAAGCGUGGGGAGCAAACAGG
rnacentral:rRNA from 1 species